AUGCAACUUUGCCAUUUUACUUCUGAUAAUGGGAGAACAAUUGAAAGACAUUGCUGUAGUUCUUCUCAUGUUUGUCUGUUUGCUUGUCUCUUGCUGCUAGAAUUGCAAUCAGUAUUCCAAGAUCUGCAGCUUCAGGAAAAAUGUCAGCUGGAUUUCACAGAUGCAGUGUUUGUGGGUGUACAUGAUGCUGUGCCUCCAAGGGGGUUUUCCAUGCCAAAGGAAAGUGAUGUGGCUGUCAUCCAGGUUCCAUUCGAAGACCCCAUUGUUCCAAGAACUCCUUCAAAAGGCACCUGCACAGAGGGCAUCAGCUUUCAGCGGGGCAUCCAACCGUUCAACUACAUGUGGGAGGUUGGUGUCGGACCUGACCUGGCUAUGCAUCCUAGGUACAUUAUGCUCUAUGAAAACCAGUGA
rnacentral:lncRNA from 1 species